UACCCAAAACAAGUACUCAAAAAAAAGAAUCAAAACAAGUACUUGUACCCAAAACAAGUGAAGUCGCAUACAUACUGGCGGUAUACUCGCACGAGCCCCGGGGCAACCCCGGAGGCGCUUGGACAAGUCCCGGCGGGGGUCGAAUGACGUCAUCCGGCUCCGACCUUGUGCCUGGACUUCUUGGCUAGGUGGCACCGUCCGGGCGCCCCUUGUUCGCUGGCGACCGGGCGGUCGGUCGGUCGGCUCCUCUGCAUGGACAAAAUCUUUCCAGGCGACGGUCAUUCUUUUCUUCCUUCGGGGAUCGGGAACCUAUGCCAUACUUUCUAUUAAUCUGCCUGAGAAUACAGCAUCGAUAUGACUAGUGCAUGUGCAGAAGCUUUCUAUUGCUUACUCAGAAAUAAACACAGAAGCUUUUCUGCAUAACCGUUUGCGAAUUGCUAUCCACGUCCAGUUUAGUGUCUGUAUUUUGUGAUUUCGUUUUGAUUUGCCAAUUGUAGCAUAAUUUUUUGGAACGGUCGAUGUCUGUGUGUGGUUGGUGUGGACAGUUAUCAGAGCCAGCGUUCCCAAGCUGAUUCUGGGCGACGGCUUUGAGAUCGUCCAGACCCUGAUCGUGGACAUUGAGCCAGACCAGCACGUGAAGCGUGCGAUGAACGAGAUCGGUCUGAGCUUUUUACUCUGUUCUCGAUUAUACACUGGCAUUGCUAGCUGAUACGCUUGUGGCUGGUGUGUGUUGCCGUGCAGCUGCGGGCGAACGAGAAGGCGGCGCGCAGAGGGGGAGGCGGAGGCCAAGUUAAACACACUCAUGUUCUGAUAAUAAAAGCGGACAACAAACCAAAACCUACUGAUGUUCUGAUAAUAAAAAGCGGACAAGUUAAACACACCAAUACAUGAGGACUAAGGCCGCCGCCUAUAAAUUGAACUUGGAAAGGUUGUCGUACUCACUAUCUGAGAUAGCAGUCUUCGCUAACUAAGCAUGAUGCCAGCAUACUUGACCUCGAUCGGCAGCCUCCUCCUACAACCACCAGGCAUAGCAUUGAGUCAAGUCUAUUCACCUGCAGAUGAUAAAACAAACCAAGACUAGUGAUAUUCUCUGUUACCAGGAAAAGGAACUAAUGGCGUGUUUGGUUAGAGGAAUAAGGUAGUCUAUCAUCUUCUCACUCCUCACUUUAUUUAUUUGGUUUGUGGAAUAGAAUAAGUUGAUCCAUCACAUUUCAUUCAUUAUAGGUGUCACACCCAGAUUUAAGGGCAAACCCGGGUGCGUCUCAAAUGUGUGCUAGGAUAAAGUCUCACACAUAUGAUGACUCAUGGUACAGAAAUCAAUGUCACAUCUUUAUUAUAUAAUAGGAAUUCUGUAUAAAAUAACUAAAUAAAUUACACCAUAUGACGAUGACGAUCCUCCAUAACCAUAGUUGACUGGGAGACGACGGCCUAGACCUCUCCGUACUCAUCGCAGCAUCCUUCAUACUCCUCCAGCGGUACCUGUUUUUGACCUGGUGUGAGUUUAGCAAGAGUGAGCUCACAUACGUUCAUCGCUCAGCAAGUUAUGGGGAAUAAUGUGCAUAAGCUCGUCCAAAAAGCCAUCGCAGCAUGAUUGACCCGAGAACCUUCCUAUACCGGCAACUCCUCUACCGCCCUUACCCCUUUCGAGUAAGGUAGUCCUCCACUAGCUUUCCUAAUUAGUCAGCCAAGGGCGUCCCAUUCCACCCUUGUGGUAGCACUGUUAUCUCAAGUUAAGCUCCAUGUUCCAAUUAACAAAGUUAUCUUAUCAUGCAUAAGAGUAAACCAACAAUAAUAAAUCAUAUUGGAACAUGAUCAUAAAUCAUAAGUAUCAUUAAUCCCAAACCAGGUAGAGCAAUAGCAAUAUUACCUAAUAAUUCAUUUGUAUGCAAGGUGUAGGGUAAGCAAAACUAGGUAACCUAUUAGGUCCCGUCAGCUUAACCUAACUGUGUCACGGUGAUUAAUAUAACAUCAUUAGGUAAAAGAAUGUGAUCAAGGACACAACUUGCUUUUUUGGUAUAAUUCCAGGUACUUCUCCAAAGUUGGUGCUUUAGGUCUCCUCGUUACCUUGCUUCUAUUCGUAGCAAUACAUACAAAUAAAAAUAAUAAUGGAUAUGAUAACAUUAAACCAAAACAUGGAAAUAAAUCACACAAUAAUAUUCUACGCGUCGCUACGAGAUCGUAGAUUUGAGAAUCACUAAAUUCGGAGUUACGGUUGAAAAGAUAUAGUUCUCGAAGAUCUAUGUGAUUAACUAUGAAAAACUAGAUUCUUAGUUGAUUUUAUAAAUCAUGUGAGAUAUAUAUUAAAUAAAUAACUAAUUCAACUUUAAUAUAAGUUAUAUCUUGGUUAGAGAUCAUCUUCUAGUCAAAUUAUAAUUAUAGACAGGUUACUUUGAUUAGAAAGAUUAAUCUACUAUACAUAGGGUUAAUAAAAAUCUAACUAUAAAAGUAUGUGAUAUUAAAAAAUAAUGCUUGUCACUGCGUAGGCAAUUUUAUUACGAAACUAACGCAACUUGAACGGACUAAAAUGGACUUAGAAUGAAUAAGAUAUGGAUUUCCUAAGUUUUACAAUUAUUUUUACAGCAGAAAUCUAUUUUCCAGAUUUAAUCCCAUAUAUUAUAUUAGACCAGGGACCGCGGGCACUAUUUUGAACAGACUCAGGGUCGAUUUCAUGAAGUUCGGGACCUGAAUGUAAUGGUCUUUCUAUUACUAUGGAGGGCGGGUUUAUUUAUAAAGACCAGAGGGGCUCUUUAGCAAAAUCGACGCGACGAAGGGGUACGCAUGUUUUCUGGCCGUUGGAUCAAACACGCACGGUCCCGAUUAGAUCAACCGAGGCGCGAACCGGUGCGUAAUGUGAGCCGUCCGAUCGGGGAUAAACGAUUAAGGAUUUAAAAUCCUUCGAUCUGACCCUGCCCGUCCAUCCUUCGAUCAGCAGUCCGGAUUGAAUCGGUGAAGGGGGGUAUUGGUGAUUUAAUCCCUAUCGUUCAUCAAGCGGUCAACGGGCAGGGCGUGUCUUCCUCAACCAACGACCCCCACAGCGGCGAGGAACACCACCGCGGCGGCGCCAUCGCCGUGGCACGACAACCCGACGCUCCCAGCGCCCGAACUCGUAACCGACCGGCGAAACACGCAGAGCAGGACAAAGCGAACUGUAUGGGGAAAACUUACCGGAGUUUAUGGCGCAGAGGGGCCCGACCACGCGGUGUGGCGGCACGAGGAUUCCGGCGAGAAAUUCCGGUGGUCCGGAGCGCAAGUCCGCCCAGGCGAAGUCACAGUCAUGUUCAGCGCGGCCUGGCGACGCCCCUUGACUCGGUCCCGAGGCCCCAAUGACCGCAUGGACACGCUCUGCCCAUGCGCGGCGGCGCUCUCUCCCUUCUCUCGGUUUCUCUCUUCUCGCCGCGGUGUCUUCAACGAUGGUGCUUCGGUUUCGGUGAAUAAGGGUCGCGACUGGUAUAUAAAGGCACCACCCGGCCCUUGGCCAGCUGGCAAGGCGGCCACGAGGUGGUUGCGGAUGGCGGCGGAUUUCCCAGGUGGAUCGCGAGCGCUCGAAC
rnacentral:lncRNA from 1 species